rnacentral:rRNA from 1 species
CCCUUAGAUGUUCUGGGCUGCACGCGCGCUACACUGAUGCGAUCAACAAGUUUUUCCUAUGUCGAUAGACACGGGUAAUCUUUUGAACUCGCAUCGUGAUGGGGAUAGAUUAUUGUAAUUAUUAAUCUUCAACGAGGAAUUCCUAGUAGGUGCAAAUCAUCAGUUUGCAUCGAUUACGUCCCUGCCCUUUGUACACACCGCCCGUCGCUGCUACCGAUUGGUUGAUCUGGUGAAUUAUUCGGACUGCCGGCUGAAGGGGUUUCCUCAUCUGCCAGCGGAAAGUCUUAUUAACCCUAUCAACUAGAGGAAGCAGAAGUCGUAACA